GCUGGGCGUGGUGGCUCAUGCCUGCAAUCCCAGCACUUUGGGAGGCCGAGGCGGGAGGAUCACCUGAGGUCAGGAGUUCGAGACCAGCCUGGCCAACAUGGUGAAACCCCGCCUCUA
rnacentral:SRP_RNA from 1 species